rnacentral:rRNA from 1 species
GAUCAUGGCUCAGGAUGAACGCUGGCGGCGUGCCUAAUACAUGCAAGUCGAACGCGCAGCGAGAGGUGCUUGCACCUUUCAAGCGAGUGGCAACGGGUGAGUAACACGUGGAUGACCUGCCUCAAGGCUGGGGAUAACAUUUGGAAACAGAUGCUAAUACCGAAUAAAACUUAGUAUCGCAUGAUAUCAAGUUAAAAGGCGCUACGGCGUCACCUAGAGAUGGAUCCGG